AGAGGUAGGGUUUCAGGUGUCUAGAGACUCUCCAGAGGUAGGGUUUCAGGUGUUUAGAGACUCUCCAGAGGUAGGGUUUCAGGUGUCUAGAGACUCUCCAGAGGUAGGGUUUCAGGUGUAUAGAGACUCUCCAGAGGUAGGGUUUCAGGUGUCUAGAGACUCUCCAGAGGUAGGGUUUCAGGUGUCUAGAGACUCUCCAGAGGUAGGGUUUCAGGUGUCUAGAGACUCUCCAGAGGUAGGGUUUCAGGUGUCUAGAGACUCCAGAGGUAGGGUUUCAGGUGUCUAGAGACUCUCCAGAGGUAGGGUUUCAGGUGUUUAGAGACUCCAGAGGUAGGGUUUCAGGUGUUUAGAGACUCUCCAGAGGUAGGGUUUCAGGUGUUUAGAGACUCUCCAGAGGUAGGGUUUCAGGUGUUUAGAGACUCUCCAGAGGUAGGGUUUCAGGUGUCUAGAGACUCUCCAGAGGUAGGGUUUCAGGUGUUUAGGAAAGAUGAGCAGGGACUCUGCUGUCCUGACUUCAGGGGGAAGCUGGUUCCACCAUUGGGGUGCCAGGACAGAGUAGAGCUUGGACUGGGCUGAGUGGACAUUGGGGUGCCAGGACAGAGAAGAGCUUGGACUGGGCUGAGUGGACAUUGGGGUGCCAGGACAGAGAAUAGCUUGGACUGGGCUGAGUGAACAUUGGUGUGCCAGGACAGAGAAUAGCUUGGACUGGGCUGAGUGAACAUUGGUGUGCCAGGGCAGAGAAGAGCUUGGACUGGGCUGAGUGGAGAUUGGGGUGCCAGGACAGAGAAGAGCUUGGACUGGGCUGAGUGGACAUUGGUGUGCCAGGGCAGAGAAGAGCUUGGAUUGGGCUGAGUGGAGAUUGGGGUGCCAGGACAGAGUAGAGCUUGGAUUGGGCUGAGUGGAGAUUGGGGUGCCAGGACAGAGAAGAGCUUGGACUGGGCUGAGUGGGAGCUGCCCUCCCGUAGGGGUGGGAUGUAACCCCAGAAUGAUCCAGCGGUAGAGAAUGUGGUGCAGCCCCAGAAUGGUCCAGCGGUAGAGAAUGGGGUACCAUGUGGGAUGUAGCCCCAGAAUGGUUCAGCGGUAGAGAAUGGGG
rnacentral:lncRNA from 1 species